rnacentral:misc_RNA from 1 species
UUUUAACAUUAAUUGAUUGUUUUACACUUUAGAAUAAAAUAUUUUUUGGCGGCAGGUCCUCUCCCACCAGGUCCAAGAAUUGUAAUGAUGAUGAAGAUGGGGAGAGAGACCCCCAGAAUAUUACCCCGAAGGCAACUUUUACUCUGGGGGACUCUCCCAUUCGAAAUCCGAAAGUGGCGGGAUCCUGGUGAGAGAAACUUUCUCUUUUAAUUCGUCUUUGGAGCACUCUGCUGGCCGAUUUGUCCCAUGGUCGUCUUGGCGGGUGAGUUGGUAUUUUUUCCCAUCAGGUGGCAACUCCUUGUGUCAGGUUGGAGGCGGGUGGCAGCACUCGUUGGGAAAAAAGGACGUCGACUUGAGGACAACAUUGGAGGGCAGUGGAUUUGGCGUGAGACCUGUAUGAAGCAUCGUCGUGUGGGUGGACAUUGUGUGGCGUCUUCGUGUACAGGUGCAGGUGAGUCCAGAGGAUGUCGUCAGGAUGGGUAAAAUAUAUCACAGGAAUAAGAAGAAGACAUGUAAACAAAGAUUUCUGGACAGGAUUUAGGAGCAUAUCACAUAGAUUGAACAGAUCCCAGGUGUUGAUGGCGAUGGAUGGCCUUUUCGCAUGUAUCCUUACAUGGUCUGCGCGUUCGAUAGGAAGUUCGUCGAGUGGGCAGGCAGUGGAUCGUGUGAGUAAGGAUUUACGUAUUUUCCGUGUCCAUCUGUGAGUCAGGAAGAACGUCGUCAGGUACUUGUAGGAGAGAGCCCAGAGAUCGUGCCAGAGAUGUCCGUAUGCAUGGUGUAGGAGCGUGGGCUUUCCUAUUGGCAUCUUUUGCUGGGAACGCGGUUCGUCCUUGUGUCGUGGAGGAGGCGGUUUGCAGCAUUCAUUAUGGAAAGGGUAAACAUGCAGGAAUUUAUCUAAUUUGGUCUAGUCAGGUACGGAUACAUGUGAGUCCAGUGGAUGUCGUCAGGUUGGGUAAAAAUUUAUCCCAGGUGAGUAUCACAGAUAAUUAGAUCAGUCGUUUUUAGAUUCAAUUGCAUGUAGUGUAUGUAUAAAGGAAGAUAUGUAAACAAAGAAGAUUUCUAGACGGGAUUUUAGACGUAUUAAAAAAAACAGCAUUGAGCAGGUCCACAGUGACGGUGGCAGGGGAAGGCGUUUGACGGCUGGGUGUUGUUCCAUGGUCCUGAGUUUAUUUGUCCUUUCUCCUUACGGGUUCUGCACGUUCGUAGAGGGGUUCGUCAGGCUAGCAACGUGUUCAUGUAGAGUCAACAGGUUUUUUUUCCGAUAUAAGUGAGCGUCAUCAAGGAAAAAUUUUUUUGUCUGAGUGUCUGGGAUGGACUAAAUUUGGAUCAGGUCGCCGGCCAUUAGCAUGUCCAUUAGGGAUACACUACUGCCAAGAGAAGAGGCACCCAUUUCCUUGUCAACCGAUUCUUCUAGAGGUUACCCAGCUUCUCCCACAGCUUCGCUUGGAAACUUGUAUCCUGUUUUAGACGUUCAUCUACUUGCUGUUGCUGCAACUUUAUGUUUUCGGAGAUAUUAGUAAUAUUCUGCAUGACUUUGUGCAAAUUGUUAUCAGAAUAAGAGGCCAUUGUGGGCCGUUGUUGACCAA